GGGAGGCGUGAUGAUAUUAUCCAUACAUUCUGCUAUUGGAUGAUGAAUUAUUCAACAUGCACUACCAUCUGAUCUCUC